AAGCUUGGAGGCCCAGACAUUACCGAGCUCCUCUCUCCAGUGACAAAGGCCUGGGCGGGCCCAGCUUUGGCCAGAGGGAUGCCUGCUCAGCACUGCGAACUGAUUGGCACCUACUGUCACAAAGACGUGGGCCAGGGCAGAACUCUCUCCUGGUGAUGGCGGCCUCCUCCAGUUCCUCGGGGCAGCAGGUGCCCCACACUGCAUUGCCCUCCAGUGCCUGGGCAAGGGUGGGGGGCCACGCGGUGAGGACCCCAUGCAGGGCCCAGGGCUGUGGGAGGCUUCACAACACUCCCUCUGCAGCCAUCCAGGCGCUGGCACAGCGGCUCUCAUGGCUCCCUCAACACCAGCUGAUGUCUGUCUUCUCUCUGCGUCCUGGCUGCCCACACCCUGCCCAGCAGCUGUUCCCACUUGCAGGCUUUUCCCAUUGACGUGCCUUUUGCAGCUCUGCUGGAGCCUCAAGACUUCUGCAAGCUCAGGCUGCCGUCAGUCUCAGGCUGCUUGAUCCGAGAAGCUUCUCUGUGAUGGUGGGAAGGAUGCUGGCUCUGGAGCUGGUCAGACCCAGGUUCAAACUCUGAUUUACUAGAUGUGUGAUUUGGGGGAACCUAUUUAGACUCUUGAGGCCUCAAUCUUCUCUAAAAUGGGCUCAUUAAAGCAGCUGCCACACUUGCUUGUUUUGAGGAUUUAAGGAGCUGAAAAUGCAAUGCCUGGUGAGCAGUUCACACCGUCCGGUCUCGGCAUGGAAGCCUGCCUUCAGUGAGACCUGAACAUCUAUCCUGGGAGCCCUCCAAACCAGCCUGCAGGGCACGUGAUGGAUGAGAGAUGGGCCAGCUCGGUGUCCAGGGAGAUGAGCUUUACCCAUGGGCUGGCAGUGUCGCACGAGAAACACAUCUUGUAUUCCUCAUUCAUAUUCAUCGUGGGCAGUCUCCACCCCACACGAGGCAGAAGAGUGGCUUUAUAUAGCCUGGGAGGUCCAGGAGCCCUGCACUGAUUUAUGACAGGCCUGCCGAAAGCACAUGGAAGCCGAGAUGGGACCAUGAUGCACAUCUGAGCCUCUGAGAUGACAACGGGCUUGGCUCUCUGCUCAUGGCACCGGGGCAGCCACAUCCAUGGCACCUAGACGUUCCGUCCACUCUUACGGGCUUGCUCCCAAGCCUGCACCUGCAGGAGUUCAGCCACCCCCGACUGUUGAGGCUAUGGAAGGAUGAGCCCAAAGAGGCCGAGCCUGCAAGGCCCCACGGUCAGAGCACUGGUUUCUUUUCCUGCACAAAGGGGGCUCUGCAGCUGCCCCGCCGGGGCCAGUUCCCAAACCAGACCCCAGCUUUUCCCUUGGACUGUUCCGACGGGUGGAAAUACAGAGUGUUGGUGCUGGAAGGAUGAUAGCAAUGGUAGCUGUCAUUUAUUAAGCACCUACUGCAUACCAGGCAUGUUAAGAUGAUUUCUGAUCCUCACAAGUGCUGGAGGAGGCGCGAUUCUCAUCAUCGGGUCACGGUGGAGGCCAUGGAGCUCUAGGGAGGCUGUGAGUGAGAUCAGGGGCACAGACCUGCAUCCAACUCCAGCUCUGCCCCUUACCAGCUGUGGGACGGGCUGCUUUCUUAAGCUCUCGGUGUCUCGGCUUCCUCAUCUGUAGACGGGGAAGCUGCAGAGGGUGGCCCCCUGUAGGGUGGUAGUGAGUCACUGCACAGGCAGUGUGCUCACAGCAGGGCCCGGCGCCCAGGAAGGGCCGCCAGAGUGUCAGCUGUCACCACGGGGAGGACGAGUGAUUUGGGCCCAGUCGGCAGGGCAGCAAUAACUACAUUCCCAGUCUGUCCGGCCCCAGAGCCCAUGCUCUUCCUUUUACAUAUGAGGAAACGUGCAUGGUGGGGAGGGUGUCAGGAAAGAGGACUUGUCAAGAUGGGCCAGCUGCUCUGUGACUGUCCCAGGGCUGGUAGCCCUCUCUGAUGACCCCAGGUGUAGUGUCCACCCCACGAAAACACUGAAAUAAUCUCUGACAAGCCCCUUCGGCCUUGGGGUUAUCUGAUGCCACCUCUGGGAGCCAGGGUUUAACGCGGGAAGCACUGUCUCUUACUUUUGCACCACACGGGCCCUCUCCAGCCCUGACUUUCUUCAAACCGCACUUCCCAACAACUCGAUCAUGAAUGUAAGAAAUCCAUGAACACAGACCACUGUUCCUUCCCCACCAUAAUCGACUCAGAUCUUAGAAGCUCUACAUGGAUUUUUAACCACCCUUUGCUGCCAACUUCUCCAUUUUAUUUGAAAUAAAUAUUCAAGAUUUA